GACGAACGCUGGCGGCGUGCUUUAGGCAUGCAAGUCGAACGCGAAAGCCCCUUCGGGGGUGAGUCGAGUGGCGAACGGGUGAGUAACACGUGGGUAACCUGCCCCUCGCAGGGGGAUAACCGGGGGAAACCCCGGCUAAUACCCCGUACGCUUGCUGGGGCGCAUGCUCCGGCAAGGAAAGGUAGCUUCGGCCAUCCGGCGAGGGAGGGGCCCGCGGCCCAUUAGCUAGUUGGUGGGGUAACGGCCCACCAAGGCGACGAUGGGUAGCUGGCCUGAGAGGGUGGUCAGCCACACUGGGACUGAGACACGGCCCAGACUCCUACGGGAGGCAGCAGCCAGGAAUCUUGCGCAAUGGGCGAAAGCCUGACGCAGCAACGCCGCGUGGGCGAUGAAGGCCUUCGGGUCGUAAAGCCCUGUUGUCGGGGACGAAGGGCGAAGGGUUAAUAGCCCCUAGCCUGACGGUACCCGACGAGGAAGCCCCGGCUAACUACGUG
rnacentral:rRNA from 1 species